GAAAUGCGAUACGUAAUGCGAAUUGCAGAAUUCAGUGAAUCAUCAAAUCUUUGAACGCAAAUUGCGCUCUCGGGAUAGGCCUGAGAGCACGCCUCUUUGAGUAUCGAUUCCACCACCUCCAGAACAAACUUUGUUUUGACACUGGGAAUUUGAGUGUUUCAUAUCUUCGGAUGUGUCACCUGAAGCGGAAUGGAAUUGAGGGUCUGCGAAACUGCUGUUGAAUAUUCAUAGGCUGAAGUGGACUUGAACAUGGAUAAAUUUCCAAUGAUCAAUAAACUUUGGCUUUUUGAUCUCAGCGAAUCUAAGUUUUGCAAACAAGAAGCCCUCUCCUAACUAAUAUCUUAACUAACUAAGAAUUAGAUCUCAAAUGAAGCGAGACAACCCGCUGAACUUAA
rnacentral:misc_RNA from 1 species